CAGCAGCCGCGGUAAUACGAAGGGGGCUAGCGUUGCUCGGAAUCACUGGGCGUAAAGGGUGCGUAGGCGGGUCUUUAAGUCAGAGGUGAAAGCCUGGAGCUCAACUCCAGAACUGCCUUUGAUACUGGAGAUCUCGAGUUCGGGAGAGGUGAGUGGAACUGCGAGUGUAGAGGUGAAAUUCGUAGAUAUUCGCAAGAACACCAGUAGCGAAGGCGGCUCACUGGCCCGAUACUGACGCUGAGGCACGAAAGCGUGGGGAGCAAACAGGAUUAGAUACCCCGGUAGUCCCUGUCUCUUAUAC
rnacentral:rRNA from 1 species